AACGAACGCUGGCGGCACGUUUAAGCAUGCAAGUCGAACGGCAGUGGGGGUAACCCCAUGAGAGUGGCGAACGGGUGAGUAACACGUAGGUGAUCUGCCUUUGGGUUGGGGAUAGCUUGUGGAAACACAGGGUAAUACCGAAUGAGCUGACGGGACUUUGGUCAAGUUAGUAAAGGUGCUACGGCACCGCCUAGAGAGGAGCCUGCGGCUGAUUAGCUAGUUGGUGGGUAAAGGCCUACCAAGGCGACGAUCAGUAGCCGGCCUGAGAGGGUGUACGGCCACACUGGAACUGAGACACGGUCCAGACUCCUACGGGAGGCAGCAGCUAAGAAUCUUCCGCAAUGGGCGAAAGCCUGACGGAGCGAUGCCGCGUGAUCGAUGAAGG
rnacentral:rRNA from 1 species